AGCCACCAAGGUGCACCUGACCCAAUGGUCUCCCAGGUUUCAGGUCCUAAACCGCGGCUCGCUGGCUAGGGGCUCUUCCAGCUUACAGCGGAAGCAGGUGCACAGCUCCAGCUCGUAGCCCACUUCGCGUUUCCCUGGAGGCUCCAAGGGCGAGUACUUAUACACUAUCGAGUUGGCGCCAACCGAGGCACGCCCACCAGGGGAUGGACGCGCCAAUGGGAGGGCCUACUAAGCCCGCGAACUCUUUGCCGCGUUAAAUUGUCUAGAAGCUUCCAACUUCCUGAUUGUUUCCAAAUGGCUCUUAGUUUGGGGGAUUUGGGAGUUUUUUUCCCACCCCCUGUCUCCCGCCCUUUCCCAGACUCCUCGCUCCCUCCCUCACUUCCUCCCUCUCCGUCGUCUAUCUAUUCAUCUGUCUGAAUUACAAUACAACAAAGAAUAAAGAUUGUGAAGAAAGACAAAA